AGGAUAGCUAAUACCGCAUACGAUCUGUGGAUGAAAGGAGGGGAUCUUCGGACCUUGUGCUAUUGGAAUGGCCGAGAUCUGAUUAGCGUAGUUGGUGGGGUAAAAGCCUACCAAGGCGGCGAUCAGUAGCUGGUCUGAGAGGACGACCAGCCACACUGGAAGGGAGACACGGUCCAGCCGCCUACGGGAGGCAGCAGUGGGGAAUUUUGGACAAUGGGGGCAACCCGGAUCCAGAAAGGCCGCGUGAGUGAAGAA
rnacentral:rRNA from 1 species